ensembl:snRNA U6 U6 spliceosomal RNA
GUGCUUGCUUCUGCAGCACGUAUACUAAACUCCAAACUAUGCAGAGAAGAUUAGCAUGGCACCUAUGCAAGGAUGACACACAAAUGAAGCCUUCCAUUAAAGAAUUUA